UGAAGCACUAAGGCCAGGGGAGCGAAGGGGAUUAGAUACCCCCGUAGUCCUGGCUUCAAACGAUGUGGGCUUGGUGUCGGCCCCCUACAGAGGGUCGUUGCCGGAGCUAACGUGUUGAGCCCACCGCCUGGGGAUUACGUCCGCAAGGAUGAAACUCAAGGGAAUUGACGGGGGCCCACACAACCGGUGGAGCACGUGGUUUAAUUCGAUGAUAAGCGAAGAACCUUACCAGGGCUUGACCUAGCGGUAGUAGGAUCCUGAAAGGGAAACGACCUCAAGCUUUGCUUGAGGAGCCGUGGCAGGUAUUGCAUGGCUGUCGUCAGCUCGUGUCGUGGGACGUUGGGUUAAGUCCCGUAACGAGCGCAACCCCUGCUCUUAAUUGCCAGCGGGUAAUGCCGGGUACUAUAAGGGGACUGCCGGAGAAUAUCCGGAGGAAGGAGGGGAUGACGUCAAGUCAUUAUGAUCCUUAUGCUCUGGGCGACACACGUGCUACAAUGGGCACUACAAUGAGGAGCAAGUCCGCAAGGACGAGCAAAUCUCAAAAAGGUGCCCCCAGUGCGGAUUGGGGUCUGCAACCCGACCCCAUGAAGAUGGAAUCGGUAGUAAUCGCGGGUCAGCCAUACCGCGGUGAAUGCGUACUUGGGCCUUGUACACACCGCCCGUCACACCAAUCGAGUAGGCGACACCCAAAGUCAGCUCAUUAGAGCUGCCGAAGGUGUUACCUGCAAGAGGGGUGAAGUCGUAACAAGGUAGCCGUAGAU
rnacentral:rRNA from 1 species